rnacentral:lncRNA from 1 species
GUCCCUCCGACAUCCACCUGCCGGAAUCUUAGCUCCCUAUUCCGGAGCCAAUUCAGUCUCUGAGCACUCUCAGAUGACUCAAAGCUUCUUCAAACUUCAUCACCGGUACCGAUUUUGUGAGAAUAUCAGCCGGAUUCACCAAAGUCCCGAUUUUAGUCACAGUCAAUGAACCAUCUGCCACCACGUCUCGAAUGAAGUUGAAACGCACAGCCAUAUGCUUUGUCCUCGAAUGGAAGACGUUAUUCUUAGCCAAACAAAUCGCACUCUGUGAAUCACAGAAGAUUUCAACACUUUUUUGAGGAAAUCCCAAUUCACUUGUAAUUCCCUUUAACCACAACGCUUCUUUUGCUGCUUCUACUAGGGCCAUAUAUUCAGCUUCCGUUGUUGAUACAGCUACUAUAUGUUGCAACCCUGAGCGCCAGCUGAUUGUGUUUUCUCCUGCUUGAAACACAAAACCUGUGAUAGAUCGACUCCUAUCAAGGUCAGCUCCAUAAUCACUAUCACAAUACCCUCUCACUUUAAAUUUCUCAGAUUUCUUGAAUGUCAGACUCAGAUCCUUAGAAUCCCUGAUGUAUCUGAGAAUCCAUUUAACAGCUUCCCAAUGAUUUUCAUUAGGAGAUCCCAUAAAGCGACUGACCAUACCAACUGCAUAAGCAAGAUCAGGGCGAGAUCCCACCAUUGCGUACAUUAGACUCCCAACAGCACUGGAGUAAG